CUCAAAAUCUUCCCUCUCGUUUUCUUCCGCCUUUGUAGUUUUCUUUUUUGAUUUUGGGGACUGAGUGAGUGCAUUUCACCAAGGCAUUCCAUGUGCUGAUGUGUAUGCUUGCUUAGCACAAAAUUCGUAAACUGCCAAUUUAUUUUGAAUUGAACUGAUUUUGCUCUUGAAUCAGACCUGAGGGGAGAAGAUGGAACUAAAAUUAUUCAAUUCAUCAUUGGCACCCCUGUAAACCAAACAGUGAAGAACACACCCCCUGUACUUUUGCUCUUGUUCUUUCUAUCUCCUGAAUUCCACGCUUUCUGUGAUGAGCAUGCGUGGUACUAUAUAGAUACUGCUGCAGUAGUUCUAAUACAAUAUAUUACAAGAAUUCAUUGGAAAAAAGGUGUCAGUUCAUAUACGUAUGCAGCAGCUGUUCUGAUACUACUUCAGUAACCAGAAAAACACAAAAGUUCAACUAUACUUAUACGAAAUAGUUCAAUAUUUUAUUCUAUGACAGUCAAGAAAAAUAGCAAAAAAAGAGGUUCAUCGUGUGACGAACAAUAGUGCCAACAAGUGUGCUAGAGAUGCAAAAAAUUGAUAGCAUAGUCGAUGCUAUUUUUCAUCCAAUUUCUGAAGAAAACUGUAAGUUGAUCAGAGUAACUGAAGAAUAAUCUGUUAGUUCUCGAGUAUGUGUAAUGCUGCCAUUUUACUGUGCAUUUGAUUCCAUUGUGGAUGUAUUACAAGAUAUGAUUGUAUUAUUAUGUUGAAUAAAAAUGCCAUUUUGCUACAACAUUUUCUGUCAGCUCCUGUCAAGUUAUACAUGUAUGUGAGCAUCCUUCUAUGUAGUAAGUUCAUAGUCGAGAAGUCAGGAACUUCAUAAAGAACGUGAACACCAAAAAACCCAUUAAAAACCUAAACCUUAUUUUAGGGGAGUUUAAGAAGUUCAUGGCUAGCUGUCCGUGUUGUGUAUUCUUAUCAGUUCAUAAUCGAGAAGACAUUUAUUAUUAUUGGUUUGUUUAUCUAGCCGGUCGUGCUGUGUAUUCUGGUCAGUUCGUGUGUGUAUGUGUUGCCUUCACGGAGUACGAGAGGCCGCCCAUGACGAAGUCGCCGAUAUGGUCGAGGCAUGCUGCUAUUCUCUAUUUCCGGUUGAAGUUAAAACAAGAUGCACAAGUUCAUCUUUUGUAUGCUUUUCAGUUCAUCUACUUCCCGAUGCAAGAGGGAGAUUGGCGGCGACAACCUCUCAUCUCUUUCUCUCUCAAAGACAGCAAGAGAAAAAAGGUUCUUUCAGCAGUAUUGUUUCAGUCCAAGUUUGAUAGGAUAAUGAGGAUCAGUGAACUUCCAAUGGUUACUUCUUAUAGUUGUUCUUUGUAUUACUUCAUGGGUGAUAGGGAGAUUCACAAGUCGUUGCCGUCCACAUCAUAGCCACAAGGAAACACCAGCAUCGCUGCCAGCUACACGCACAUCUUUGACACAACCAGCUUCUAAAGUUGUGCCGCGUGGACACGUCCCACUCCAACGGCAUGGCUUAUGCUUCAGUGGCAAACAGUGGAGCCUGCUGGAGGAGUCAUGGGGUCGAGGACCUCCUGCUCAACAGUACAACUUCUUGUUUUGUGGCCGGUCACUCAAGGAGCUGAGUGCAGGCCGCAGUAAGUACAUGAUUACUAAUAUUAGGAUAUGUAUGGUCCCAGAAAAAACAUUUGUCGGGUUUUAGGUGGCCAAGUAUUAUUGAUAUGGAGAUGAAUAACUAUGCGGAUGCGCUCCUGUUGUUUUUCUGAAAAAAAAACAAGAUGCCAUGUUUACACAUCCAUAUUUAAUUUUGGAAGGUUCACACAUCCAUAUUAGAGAGAUUCAUCGCACAUAAUUUUGUAAGGUCAAAAAAGCAAUUGCUCAGUACAUCACAACAACUCUUCGAUGCAAAAAGGAUGGCUCUUCUCAAGUCAGCAGCUAACAGAACUGGGUUAAUUUUCAGAAAUUCAUUCUAGUUUAAAACGAUGGUGAGAUUCUGAUUGAGACUUUUGUCCAUUCCAGCAACUUCAGGGUAGCUCAGUCAAAUAUGGCAGCUGUGCAGUAGUUUCAGUUGAGAAAUCAGCAAGCGCCAUGCUCAGUCCAACCCCGUGGUUACAGGGUGGCCGAGUUCGUCGCGACCAUCAGUUCGGAGACCUGCGUCACUGCGCGUGUCGCUGCCAUGGCCACCUGUGUCAUUGCAUGCUCCGUCAACAGCCUCCUGCACAAGGAAAAGCAACAGGAGUAGAGGCGUCUGAGAUGCUUUGUUCUAGCGAGGUGGCCAACUAUGUUUGUCAGUUUGUAAUACUUUGGCCGCAGUGUACUUAUGUAUCUUUUUCUGGCCGGAGCACGACCAAAGCUUAUGUCAACGUGCUGAUGUCUACUACGCAACCUUCUUCUUGUAGACGUUGUUGGGCCUCCAA